AUUGAACGCUGGCGGCAUGCUUUACACAUGCAAGUCGAACGGCAGCGCGGGCUUCGGCCUGGCGGCGAGUGGCGAACGGGUGAGUAAUGCAUAGGAACGUGCCCAGUAGUGGGGGAUAGCCCGGCGAAAGCCGGAUUAAUACCGCAUACGACCUGAGGGUGAAAGCGGGGGACCGAAAGGCCUCGCGCUAUUGGAGUGGCCGAUGUCGGAUUAGCUAGUUGGUGGGGUAAAGGCUUACCAAGGCGACGAUCCGUAGCUGGUCUGAGAGGACGACCAGCCACACUGGGACUGAGACACGGCCCAGACUCCUACGGGAGGCAGCAGUGGGGAAUUUUGGACAAUGGGGGCAACCCUGAUCCAGCCAUGCCGCGUGCGGGAAGAAGGCCUUCGGGUUGUAAACCGCUUUUGUUCGGGAAGAAAUCCUCUGGGCUAAUACCCCGGGGGGAUGGCGGUACCGGAAGAAUAAGCACCGGCUAACUACGUG
rnacentral:rRNA from 1 species